rnacentral:rRNA from 1 species
ACCCUGGUAGUCCACGCCGUAAACGGUGGGCGCUAGUUGUGGGGACCUUCCACGGUCUCUGCGACGCAGCUAACGCAUUAAGCGCCCCGCCUGGGGAGUACGAUCGCAAGAUUAAAACUCAAAGGAAUUGACGGGGCCCCGCACAAGCAGCGGAGCAUGCGGCUUAAUUCGACGCAACGCGAAGAACCUUACCAAGGCUUGACAUAUAGGGAAAAGUGGCAGAGAUGUCAUGUCCGCAAGGGCUCUAUACAGGUGGUGCAUGGUUGUCGUCAGCUCGUGUCGUGAGAUGUUGGGUUAAGUCCCGCAACGAGCGCAACCCUCGUUCUGUGUUGCCAGCAUUUAGUUGGGGACUCACAGGAGACUGCCGGGGUUAACUCGGAGGAAGGUGGGGAUGACGUCAAAUCAUCAUGCCCCUUAUGUCUUGGGCUGCACGCAUGCUACAAUGGCGCAUACAAACGGCUGCAAUACCGCAAGGUGGAGCGAAUCCGAAAAAGUGCGUCUCAGUUCGGAUUGAGGUCUGCAACUCGACCUCAUGAAGUCGGAGUUGCUAGUAAUCGUAGAUCAGCAACGCUACGGUGAAUACGUUCCCGGGGCUUGUACACACCGCCCGUCACGUCACGAAAGUCGGUAACACCCAAAGUCAGUGGCCCAACC